rnacentral:tRNA from 2 species
AAAGAUUUAAGUUAAAAAAACUAAUAGCCUUCAAAGCUCUAAAUGAUCAUAAUCAAUCUUUA